CUGGUUGAUCCUGCCAGUAGUCAUAUGCUUGUCUCAAAGAUUAAGCCAUGCAUGUCUCAGUGCAAGCCGUACGCGCUCGCGCGUAUAGGUGAAACCGCGAAAGGCUCAUUAAAUCAGUUAUGGUUCCUUGGAUCGUACCCAUCAGUUACUUGGAUAACUGUGGUAAUUCUAGAGCUAAUACAUGCCGACAGAGUUCCGACCGCUUUCAUGCGGGAGGAACGCUUUUAUUAGAUCAAAACCCAUCGGUGCGGGCUUCACGGCUCGCAUCGACAACCAUCGGUCCGCUCUCUAAGAUGGCCGAUCAAGUGGUGACUCUGAAUAACUUUGUGCUGAUCGCACGGUCUCAGUGCUGGCGAUGCAUCUUUCAAAUGUCUGCCUUAUCAACUGUCGAUGGUAGGUUAUGCGCCUACCAUGGUGGUAACGGGUGACGGGGGAUCAGGGUUCGAUCCCGGAGAGGGAGCCUGAGAAACGGCUACCACAUCCAAGGAAGGCAGCAGGCACGCAAAUUACCCACUCCCAGCUCAGGGGAGGUAGUGACGAAACAUAACGAUACGGGACUCAUCCGAGGCCUCGUAAUCGGAAUGAGUACACCUUAAAACGUUUAACGAGGAUCCAUUGGAGGGCAAGUCUGGUGCCAGCAGCUGCGGUAAUUCCAGCUCCAAUAGCGUAUAUUAAAGUUGUUGUGGUUAAAAAGCUCGUAGUUGGAUGUGUGUCUCGCGGCGUCGGUUCACCGCUCGACGGCGGUGUCAACUGGCGCGUCAGCGAAAUGUCCUGCCGGUGGCGGUUCGGCCGGGUUUUCUUUCAAGCGUGCUCCUUUAAACGGGCAUCGUUUGGGAAUUCUGUCGGAGUCGGCCGUCGGCCCCUGGUUCUUAACAGGCCAGGAGUGUCCUGUCGCGGUGCAUCGGAAGCUUGCUUUCGUUGUGUCGAGGCGGACCGGCACGUUUACUUUGAACAAAUUAGAGUGCUCAAAGCAGGCAAGCAAAGUGUGACGGGUCGUAAGGCCCGGCCGCCUGAAUACUGUGUGCAUAGAAUAACUGAAGAGGACGUCGGUUCCAGUCGAGGUUAAGUGUGGUUUUCGGAACCCGACGUAAUGAUUAACAGGGACGGGCGGGGGCAUUCGUAUUGCGACGUUAGAGGUGAAAUUCUUAGAUCGUCGCAAGACGAACCGAAGCGAAAGCGUUUGCCAAGUACGUAACCGUUGAUCAAGAACGACAGUUAGAGGUUCGAAGGCGAUCAGAUACCGCCCUAGUUCUAACCAUAAACGAUGUCAGCCAGCGAUCCGUUUACGUUCCUCCGAUGACUAAACGGGCAGCUUCCGGGAAACCAAAGCUUUUGGAUUCCAGGGGAAGUAUGGUUGCAAAGCUGAAACUUAAAGGAAUUGACGGAAGGGCACUACCAGGAGUGGAGCCUGCGGCUUAAUUUGACUCAACACGGGAAAACUCACCAGGCCCGGACACCGGAGGGAUUGACAGAUUGAGAGCUCUUUCUUGAUUCGGUGGGUGGUGGUGCAUGGCCGUUCUUAGUUGGUGGAGCGAUUUGUCUGGUUAAUUCCGAUAACGAACGAGACUCUUUCCUACUAAAUAGUCGCCAGUCAUCGACUCCGCCGGUCGGGGCCGGGACUCACCUCAAUGGGGUCGUGUUCGUGGUCCUCGUGGCUGCGGGUGCGUGCUCCUUUGGGGCCCGGUUUUCGGCCGGCGAGCUGGCUGCGAACUAUAAUCUUCUUAGAGGGACAGACGGCGUCUAGCCGUACGAGAAUGAGCAAUAACAGGUCUGUGAUGCCCUUAGAUGUUCUGGGCCGCACGCGCGCUACACUGAAGGAAUCAGCGCGUUUUACACCUGGGCCGAGAGGUCCGGGUAACCCACUGAACCUCCUUCGUGAUAGGGAUCGGGGCUUGCAAUUUUUCCCCGCGAACGAGGAAUUCCCAGUAAGCGCGAGUCAUAAGCUCGCGUUGAUUACGUCCCUGCCCUUUGUACACACCGCCCGUCGCUACUACUAAUUGAAUGAUUUAGUGAGGUCUUCGGACCGGUGCGCGGAAGAAUGCCUCGCGCGUUCUUCCGACGUUUCAUCGGAAAGAUGACCGAACUUGAUCCUUUAGAGGAAGUAAAAGUCGUAACAAGGUUUCCGUAGGUGAACCUGCGGAAGGA
rnacentral:rRNA from 1 species